AAAAUGUCACCUGAUGUUAGUUGUCCCUCACUGAUUCAAGUAAUUUCCUUUAUUGAGGUGGAUCUGCCUGUUGGUGGAGAACCCUAGACUGCAUGCAGCCAUGCACAUGAUCUGGAGACACAGCAGGUCAUCCUCAGCAUUUAUACUCUCUCUCCUUUUGUGCCCCCAUGGACCAAGUUAAGAAGGUGUAGGCUUCAAAUCUUAAGAUCGGUCACCACAAAAUUCAAAAAGACAAGGUCUUUGUCUGUUGCUCAGGAUGGAGUGUAGUGGUGCCAUAGCACACUGUAAUCUUGAAUUUCUGGACUACUGGCAUACACCACCAUGCUUAGGUUCGGGCCACAACAUCCGUGACUUUACCGGUUUUGGUCUCUUCCUUGUAACUUUCGGCUCCAGGAUGCUGCGCAGCUCCUCUCUGCACUAUCUAUCAGAACGUUGCUCUGCGUGCUUGAAAGUUUCGCCAAACAGAAGUACACAAAAACAAACAGAGGCGAAACACAAAUCCCCUCAGCCCUG
rnacentral:lncRNA from 10 species